UAUAAAAUUCGAGAAUUUUUCAGAAUUUUUUUUUUUGAUUCGUAUUUGGACCGAAUUAUUCGUAAAAUUCGAUAAAAUUCUAUUCGGACGAAUUAUUCGCAUUUAAUUUGGAGAAUUUAAUAGCUGCCUAGGUUUUUAGACUAAACAAUUAACUUUUUACAUAAUUUUUAAGAUGGUUAAAAAAUAUUUAAUUUAAUAAUUAUUUCAUUAAAGGUUCCAUUUUAAAUCUUAUGCGGGUCCAUUAUUCGAGUAUUUUGUCUAAGAGAGGUCUUAUAUUUCAAAAUCUUAAGCUAGCUUUCAAAUAUGAUACUCUCAAGAAAUUCGGAUUUUUUAAUUUGGACUAGAUCUAACCCCGCUCAGUUUGAACCUCUACCGUCGUUAGCGGUCCCAGUGGGUUCUUUAGCGUCCACGUUUGGGGUCUGGAAGGAACGACCAAGGAUGUCCCUGCGGUUUUUGAAAAGACAAAGUGGCUUCGUAUUUGGUACAUGAACAAGUUUCCCAACGGCUGGAUAACGAGGACAAAUUGGUAAAUUUCACAUUAUAUCGCUUUUCACUGGCUAGGAGACCCUUGAAACCCUGCGCAUUGGCUUCAUUCCCACUAUGACUCUUCAAUCGUCAUUUCUGAAUCGACCCAGAAAUCACUAAGGAAAGAAGCUAUUUCUCUCGCUCUCUUCUCUUCUCCCUCACACUAUGCCGCUUCGGUAUCUUCCCUUCUCUAUUUCACUAUAUCUCCCGCCCAAUGCAAGGUCUGCAUAAGGGAAGAGGCAAGUCAUCUUUCAUAGAGCUCCUCCAUCGCUGCGUCUUGAAGAACCUUCUCGAACGGCCCCAAACUAACGCCUGAAGCCUCUCAAUUUCAAACCCAUCAAGGAUCGCCUGAAGCUUCUCAUCUCUUCCCUUCGACGAUGGUUUCUUCUAAUCUUCAAACUCAAGGUCAUCUCUGAUGCAGCCUCGUCAAAGGCCAGGUUUGUGAGUUAUUGAAUUUCUCAAAUUUAACCUAGUUCUCUAGCCUCUGAAGAUUUUCCUGCGACAACAUUCCAAUCGCUGCUGUCACGGUGUAAAGGCCAUAUAUGCCCUCAUGAAGGGAGGAUGCAGAGGAGGUCAAGUUUAGGGAGGAGUUUGAGGGGGGCAGUGCUUGAGAGACACUCAGCACCAGGGGGGUUGCAUAUGAUAGUGAUAAGGAUACGCCUGCUGAUGUGGAGACAGAAGCAGACGUGAGAGAAACACUGCAUGCUAAGGCAGCCAACAAAGUUGCACAUUGGCAUGAGUAGGAUAAAGGCAGGGAGUUCAAGGAGCUGGUUCUUCAAGCAUACUUUGACAUGGCCAUCUUUGUGAUACAAUCAGAGGAAUGGUUCCAUUGGCGGCAACAAUCUUCUAGUGGUUUUGAGUCUCCUCGGAAAUCUAUGUGACAUCAUCCAAUAGACACGUGGCUGCAAAUCAGGAAAAAGGGGAGCAGUUCUGAUUAACAGAACCAAGCAAAUGAUGUAUGCACCUCGCAGCAGCAAGCACAGACACCAACAGACCAUGAGACUCAACUCAAGGCAUCUCGCGAUUUUUACAAUGUUGCUCUGGGCAUGACUCUUUUUCAAUUGCACAUUUGGAGAUGGUUUUACCUGGUAAAGAAUUCUGUGCAUAUAAAUGAAAAUUAUUGUUCCUGUCAUUUUUCCCAGCAGGAAGGUGUUCACAUAUAUCCUGUUUAGUCUUUUGAGUUAUUUUUAUAGUCUUUGGCUUUCUAUUUGUAUUUUUCUCCUGGUGGCCUUUCUUUUGUGAUAGGUUGCAAUGGCAAUGGCUGCCAAAGCCAAGCUGCUCCUACAAGAGCUGAAAACAAUAAAAGCAGAUCUGGCUUUUGCAAAGGAGUGAUGUGCUCAGCUAGAACAGGAGAAUAGAAUUCUCAGGGAGAGUCUUGAGAAGGGGAAUAGUCCAGAGGAUGAUGAUCUGGUGGGCAUUACCACCCCCCCGUGGUGGCUCCAAAGAAGAUUAACAAAUUCAAUUUAGAGAAAAGCAUUACUCUCGUGGUUCUGAUUGCUAUGAAUGCAUUUUUUUUAAUGUAUUUAACUCUGUGAUGUAUUUCUAUGAUUUUUUAUUUAUAAAUAUUGUCUGCAUUUCUGAUCGUCAAAUGAGUUCGUGUUUGCCAUUGGAAUGGACCUCAUAUGAUCAUUCAA